rnacentral:rRNA from 1 species
CUACGGGAUGCAGCAGUGAGGAAUAUUGCGCAAUGGGGGAAACCCUGACGCAGCGACGCCGCGUGGAUGAUGAAGGCCUUCGGGUCGUAAAAUCCUGUCAGAAGGAAAGAAGUGUAUGGUAGCUAAUAUCUGCCAUACUUGACGGUACCUUCAAAGGAAGCACCGGCUAACUCCGUGCCAGCAGCCGCGGUAAUACGGAGGGUGCAAGCAUUGUUCGGAAUUACUGGGCGUAAAGCGCGCGUAGGCGGUUUUAUAAGUCAGAUGUGGAAGUCCACGGCUCAACCAUGGAAGUGCAUUUGAAACUGUAAGACUUGAGUAUUGGAGGGGGUAGUGGAGUUCCCGGUGUAGAGGUGAAAUUCGUAGAUAUCGGGAGGAAUACCGGUGGCGAAGGCGACUAUCUGGCCAAAUACUGACGCUGAGGUGCGAAAGCGUGGGGAGCAAACAGGAUUAGAUACCCUUGUAGUC